UAUUCAAGUAAAUGUGCCACCUC
rnacentral:piRNA from 1 species